GGCGUUCCUUUCUUUCCCAUUCUCCAUCUUGACAUCUCACAUCAACUGAUCCAGUUUUUGAUGCCUACAUGGGUCAUGUGAAGUGUGACUCUCUCCAACACUGGCAAAUCUGAUGUGUGUUGUUUAGAGGAGGGAGGAAGGCAGAAUUCAGAAGGUGAAGGAAGUGGAGAAUGUGCACUGCAGAUGUGCACAGCUGGUGCAUUGCCAUCUCCAUGGCAUCCCUCUGUCAGAAAGGCAGCUGAGGAGAGCCACAAGGUCCUCAUCUGUGCAGGGAUGCUUAGAACAAUGGAAAACAAUGAAAGCAGUUUCUGAAAUGUUUGAAGUCCCAAAGGGUUCUGUUUUGAAUACUUUUGUAAGUUGUAGCUUUCCACUGGGACAAAAGUCUCCCACACUUUUUCCUGUGCUGUGCUGCGAAUAAUAGCUUCUCUGACCUACCCAUCACAUCUGACUUUGUCAACAUAAUAAAGCUGUAUCAUUUUAUGUGAAAGUGGAAACCAACUGACUAAGACAAUUGUUGGCUUUCUGGUCUUGGUCAUAUAAAUUCAAAAGAUGUUGACUAAGGUUACAUCAGCUAAAAUCACGCUUGGUAUAAACUGUCCCUACAUUUACAUCAUAUCUAAAUUUGGAGGUCUAGUGGAUUUCAAAUUAUUCCAUUAUCACAUGUAAACAAGUCCAUCAUUUUUCCUUACUGUCACACCAAAGAGCUUAAUGAGGAUUAGAUACCCUUACUGUUUUCACAGUGAACUCCCAUGAAUGUAGGAAACCAGUGAAGAGCACCCUGAAACUUCAGAGCACAGCGAUUUGCCAGCUUUGCUCAUACAGAGUUGCCGUCACUGGUACAGCAUGUUCAGGACAUUUUCCAACACCAAGUUUUUGGCAAACACUUACAAUCCCUGAUGAUGAUGGCCUUUUCUAAUGCCUGCUCAAGGACAUUGGGCUGGCAGAAGUCAUGAUGAGCGUUGGAUAUUGAAUCAGUCCUUUCCGAUUGGUUCAGCAGUGGGAGGGAGGAGGAAAAGUUUUUGCGGUUUCAGUUUCCAUUGGCACAAAAUUUUCAGGUCAUGAAUUGUGUGAAUAAUUCAGGAGACAGGGAUUGGUGCCCUUAGCAUGGAAGCCCUUAGCAUGGAAGCCAAUUCAGGAAGACUCUUCCAUCUUAGUAGUACUAAGAUGAGUGAUGAGUGAUGAAUAGCGCUUUGAGCACGCCUUUGUAGAUGCCGGUCAGCAUCAGAGCCUCCUCAUAGAGAGCUAAAGGUGAAAUGUCACAACAGUCUUUAAUCAUGAUAAAUAGAUCAGUACCCACAAUUCUUGUGUCUCCUGCUGUUAGUCAACAGGCCCUAGAGUCAAAACCACCACCUCAAACAGAUCAGACUUAAUGCCACUAAAGAGCUUGGUUUUAUAGUGUGAGGUUUUUUUAACUUAUUAUUUUUUAAGCCUUGCUAAUUUUGAAUCAAAAGCUGUAGGAUGUGUGAGA